rnacentral:rRNA from 1 species
ACUCCUACGGGAGGCAGCAGUGAGGAAUCUUCCACAAUGGGCGAAAGCCUGAUGGAGCGACACCGCGUGAAGGAUGAAGCCUUUGUUGGUGUAAACUUCUUUUCUCUGGGAAGAUAAUGACGGCACCAGAGGAAUAAGGGGCGGCAAACUUCGUGCCAGCAGCCGCGGUAAUACGAAGGCCCCAAGCGUUAUCCGGAAUUACUGGGCGUAAAGCGUCUGUAGGUGGUCUGGAAAGUUUCAAGUGAAAGGUCAGGGCUUAACCCUGUACUUGCUUGGAAAACUAUCAGACUUGAGUGCGGGAGAGGCAAGCAGAACGGUAUGAGUAGGGGUGCAAUCCGUUGAUACAUACCAGAAUACCAAAAGCGAAGGCAGCUUGCUGGAACGCUACUGACACUGAGAGACGAAAGCGUGGGGAGCGAAAGGGAUUAGAUACCCCUGUAGUCCACGCCCUAAACGAUGGAUGCUAAAUGUCGGCGCAAGCCGGUGUUUCAAGCUAACGCAUUAAGC